rnacentral:rRNA from 1 species
CGGACGGGUGAGUAACGCGUGGAAAACCUGCCGUAUACUGGGGGAUAACACUUAGAAAUAGGUGCUAAUACCGCAUAAGCGCACAGCUUCGCAUGAAGCGGUGUGAAAAACUCUGGUGGUAUACGAUGGUUCCGCGUCUGAUUAGCUAGUUGGUGGGGUAAUGGCCUACCAAGGCAACGAUCAAUAGCCGGCCUGAGAGGGUGAACGGCCACAUUGGGACUGAGACACGGCCCAAACUCCUACGGGAGGCAGCAG